UCCUCCUACAAAGGCAUGUCUGUGGUUCCCUAUCUUUGGACACGUAAGAACUGGAGGCAAAGAAAUGGGGACCUGGAGAAGUUUGGGGCGAGUUGUUUUCUGCAGGCUCAAGAUCAACCAUCCCACAUAG